rnacentral:lncRNA from 1 species
AAAAGAAGUCUGCAUAUCAAAUGUAACAAAGGUAGUAAAAUGGAAAGACUAGGUAGAUCUGGGCUGAGGUAUCUGUCAAUUUUUGCUGCUGCUUUUUGAGUGCUGGCUAACGAUUAUAAGUUUUAAAGCAAAUGAAAAGUUUAUUCAGGAUAAAGAAUCUGUUGUUUCCUCAUAGGGCCAAACACUCAGCCAAUAAAAGAUGAUUACAUCACAGAGCACUUAUGAUAUGUCACAUCACCAAGGUAACAGGAGGGAUGGAGAUAAACAAAGGGCGGAGCCUGGGGAGAUCAUUUCUGAAAAGAAAAAGAUGAGUGAUAAAGUAGAGAACAAGGAAUACAAGAUGAAAGCAUGUGAUAGAUCUAUUGUGAAUUGACUGUAUGUUCAUCAAAUGAAAGAACAAAUGGAGCAAUUUCAAAAUCAGAAGAAGCAAAGCAAUAAAGAAGUACUGCAUUUUCUGGUGAUAAACUAAGAAGAAGAAGUAAAUAUGAACACAUGUGAUACUUGAAGAAGAGAAAAUUAUUCUUGUGCAAGGAGCUUGAUAUCUUUUAAACUUCUCUGAAAAAAAUGAUGCAAAGAAGAGUCCAACAAUUAGAUUUAUUUUCUUGUCAAAUAGACAAAGGUGAAAAUGAAUUAGGGCUUUGUACUCGUAUCUUCUUUGAUCCAGCAGAUGAGGAUGAAAAGGAUCCAGGUGUUUUUAUUACUGAAAUUGCUGAAGGGGGUGCAGCCCACAAACUUGGAUGUAUCCAUUUAUUUGACCAGAUUAUUAAAAUAGGUGAAACCAAUCUAAUUGGAUUAGAUGAAGAAGAAAUCUUCUCUACUUUUAAAAAAAUGGAAAAUUGUGUUUUCCGGAUUGAAAUUGGAAGAGAGCCACCUGAAGUCAAGACAGAACUCAUCAUACUCCUUGAAUUGUCAGAGGAAAGGAAGAAAUUUUUUACAGAUUCAGUCAUAGUUCAGGAAAAAGUUGGAGAUAUCAAAAUUGUGAAAGGAAAAGCAAGAAAUUCUAAAACUCCGAAAAUAUCAUGGCUCUGGAUCACCAGAGAACUGGAAUUAAAAAAUGAAGAGAUGGAAUUGAAAAGAAUAAUAGAAGAAGAAGGUCAGAAAUAUAAAAAAGACCUCAAGGAAAUUGAUGAAAGGACUAACAACUUGAUAGAGAAACUUAAAAAAUACGUGAACAUAUCUGAAGUGAAUAUCGGAAAUCAGCCUGAGGAGACAGUAAAAGAAGAUAUAACAACAGGGCAAUUAUUGGCCGCAGAGGAUAUCAGUUUAGGUAAGAGUUUGAUUCUUGAUUAG